CAAGAGGGAGCUGGUGUAAACUAGUUUACUUUCACUUGGGUUUCGGGGAAAAAUCUCUUUUUAUUUCCAAGAAAUUUUCAAUGCUGCAGCCAAGGAAAUGAAAUAUGCAUUAGCAACCAAACAAAAACAAGGAAGGCAAUGGUAAUAUAGCUAUUAGCUUGAAAACAAGGUUGCCAGAACCGUGACUAUUCUACUACGAUUGCCAGCCGACACUACACGUCAAAAAGAUAAAGAAGCCAGGAAGGAUGGCAGAAGGCUAUACUGAGGCAUCAUAUGCUGUGGAUGAAAAGAAGUUUUCAGGGUGGCUUUAUAUUAUUAUGAAGGUAAAAGGCCUGAAAGUAAAGAAAGAAGGAGGACUGUUCGGAAAGAAAAAAGUUGCUAAAAAUGCAAAUAUUGAAGAGCCAGCAUUUGGUGAAAGGACAGUAACAGUAAAAGUAGAUGGUAAAGAUAAUUUAGCUGGUACUAAUAUAGAGUUGGAUAUAAAGAGACUGCCGUAUGAUAUUGUACCAUCAAGCUGCUAUAUAGAGCCAGAGGAGGAUCGGAUUUUGGUUUAUCUUAAGAAGUCAGACAGUAAUCAAUCCUGGAAAACCUAUAUCGAAGGCAGUGGUAUUGAAACAGAUGAUUAACAUCUUUAUAUUGUAUAAAUAAUGGUUAUAUUGAAUAUAUAUGGAUAAUAUAUAUAUAGGAUAAUCUUGGUGGGAUUAUUGCUAUUAGUUUUUUUUUAGUAUUAUUAUGUUAAAGAUGGAUAGAUACAUAUAAAAAAAAACUGUAAUGAAAGUAUAAAGCAAUUAUUUUAAAAUAUGUAAUAGAUGCAAUAUUGAAAAUUAUUUAGUUUUUGUCAGGAUAUGUUACAGUAAGAUUUCGAAAAUCAUAAAUACAGUACAAUUUCAUGUUGGCAAAUGAACACUGUGAUAAAUGUAUUAUGUUAUUAUAAAGAUUUGGGUAAUUCAUUCUUCAACAUUUAAUCAUCUUAUAUUGUCACAGAAACUUUUGUUAAAAGGUAUUUUAUUUCUAUACUUUGAAGGCUUGUAGAUAUUCAGGUUUAUUUUUUUUUUUUUAUAGAUUAUAAAUGUAUAUCUAUUUUUGUGCUCAAUAUCAUUUUCUUUUUUUUUAAUAUCUGGCCUUUUAUAUUUUUUGGGUAUCAAGGUGUAAUUUUAUUUUCUUAUUCUCUGUAACUUGAAUCUGUUAACUACUUUUAUCUUUUAGAAUAAAAUCUUUUGAUAAAGUU